rnacentral:rRNA from 1 species
AGAGCGGGAGCCCGGAGAUGGGCACUGAGACAAGGGCCCAGGCCCUACGGGGCGCAGCAGUCGCGAAAACUCCGCAAUGCGCGAAAGCGUGACGGGGCUACCCCGAGUGCCGUCCGCUGAGGAUGGCUUUUCCCCGGUGUAAUGAGCCGGGGGAAUAAGGAGAGGGCAAGACUGGUGUCAGCCGCCGCGGUAAUACCAGCUCUCCGAGUGGUAGGGAUGAUUAUUGGGCUUAAAGCGUCCGUAGCCGGCUUAGCAAGUCUCUUGUUAAAUCCAGCGACCCAAUCGCUGGGCUGCGAGAGAUACUGUUGGACUAGGGGGCGGGAGAAGCCACCGGUAUUCCUGGGGUAGGGGUGAAAUCCUAUAAUCCCAGGAGGACCACCAGUGGCGAAGGCUGUUGGCU